rnacentral:rRNA from 1 species
UAAGGGCGCACGGUGGAUGCCUUGGCACUAAGAGCCGAAGAAGGACGUGACUAACGACGAUAUUCUAGGGGGAGCAGUAAGUACGCAUUGAUCCCUAGGUCUCCGAAUGGGGAAACCCAGCUGCUACUAGCAGUUAUUCAUGAGUGAAUACAUAGCUCAUGUAAAGGUAACGCAGAGAACUGAAACAUCUAAGUACCUGCAGGAAGAGAAAGUAAAAACGAUUUCGUAAGUAGCGGCGAGCGAACGCGAAGAAGGGCAAACCAAGAAGCUUGCUUCUUGGGGUUGUAGGACUGCAACGUGGACUUAAGCAUUAUAGUCGAAUAACCUGGGAAGGUUAAUCAAAGAGGGUAAUAAUCCCGUAGACGAAAUAGCGCUUAUACCUAGCAGUAUCCUGAGUAGGGCUGGACACGCGAAAUCCAGUUUGAAUCCGGGAGGACCAUCUCCCAACCCUAAAUACUCCUUAGUGACCGAUAGUGAACCAGUACCGUGAGGGAAAGGUGAAAAGAACCCCGAGAGGGGAGUGAAAUAGCACCUGAAACCGUGUGCCUACAAGAAGUUCGAGCCCGUUAAUGGGUGAGAGCGUGCCUUUUGUAGAAUGAACCGGCGAGUUACGUUAUGAUGCGAGGUUAAGUUGAAGAGACGGAGCCGUAGGGAAACCGAGUCUGAAUAGGGCGACUUAGUAUCAUGAUGUAGACCCGAAACCUAGUGACCUAUCCAUGAGCAGGG